GAAAUGCGAUAAGUAGUGUGAAUUGCAGAAUUCAGUGAAUCAUCGAAUCUUUGAACGCACAUUGCGCCCUUGGUAUUCCUUAGGGCAUGCCUGUUCGAGCGUCAUCUAAACCUUCAAGCCCUGCUUGGUGUUGGGUGCCUGUCCCGCCUCCGCGCGCGGACUCACCUCAAAUCCAUUGGCGGCCCCCGCGUCGGCCACGAGCGCAGCAGAAACGCGAACUCGUGAGCCCGUCCGGGCGGCUCCCAGAAGCUACACCCACCCAGUUUGACCUCGGAUCAGGUAGGGAUACCCGCUGAACUUAAGC
rnacentral:misc_RNA from 1 species